GCAUGGUAGCUCAGUUGGUUAGAGCAUGGUGCUGAUGACACCAAGGUUGCAGGUUCGAUCCUCAUAAGAACAGCUGCA